rnacentral:rRNA from 1 species
GACGAACGCUGGCGGCGUGCUUAACACAUGCAAGUCGAACGGAAAGGCCCUGCUUUUGUGGGGUGCUCGAGUGGCGAACGGGUGAGUAACACGUGAGUAACCUGCCCUUGACUUUGGGAUAACUUCAGGAAACUGGGGCUAAUACCGGAUAGGAGCUCCUGCUGCAUGGUGGGGGUUGGAAAGCUUCGGCGGUUGGGGAUGGACUCGCGGCUUAUCAGCUUGUUGGUGGGGUAGUGGCUUACCAAGGCUUUGACGGGUAGCCGGCCUGAGAGGGUGACCGGCCACAUUGGGACUGAGAUACGGCCCAGACUCCUACGGGAGGCAGCAGUGGGGAAUAUUGCACAAUGGGCGGAAGCCUGAUGCAGCAACGCCGCGUGCGGGAUGACGGCCUUCGGGUUGUAAACCGCUUUCGCCUGUGACGAAGCGUGAGUGACGGUAAUGGGUAAAGAAGCACCGACUAACUACGUG